ensembl:misc_RNA 7SK 7SK RNA
GGUUAUAAGCAAUCUGGCUGUGGUAUCUGUUGCUCUGUUCUCUGGAGUUUAUUUUGCUGAUCUAACCAACUAGGUGGGUGUUUUCCUUGUUUACUUGUUGCUUUAUGUGUUUUGGACUGGAAGCUUAAUGCUCUGUCAAAGAAGACAACCUUCUCAGUUAGGGAAUGAUUAUUCUUCAGCUGUGGGGAUAUAAAUAAAGUGCUUCUGAGCUAGAACCUCCAAAUAAGUCUAAGUAACUAAGGAGGUGUAACAAUUACCCUUCCUUUCUCUUUGAAGCCAAAAGAGAGAGAGAGAGG